CAUAUCCAGCCUUUACAACGGAUCGUCCGGCGCGUACCCGCCGGUGAAGGGAUUAAAU
rfam:Mobiluncus curtisii ATCC 43063, complete genome.